rnacentral:rRNA from 1 species
ACUCCUACGGGAGGCAGCAGUGGGGAAUAUUGCACAAUGGGCGCAAGCCUGAUGCAGCCAUGCCGCGUGUGUGAAGAAGGCCUUCGGGUUGUAAAGCACUUUCAGUCGUGAGGAAGGUAGUGUAGUUAAUAGCUGCAUUAUUUGUACGUUAGCGACAGAAGAAGCACCGGCUAACUCCGUGCCAGCAGCCGCGGUAAUACGGAGGGUGCGAGCGUUAAUCGGAAUUACUGGGCGUAAAGCGCAUGCAGGUGGUUUGUUAAGUCAGAUGUGAAAGCCCGGGGCUCAACCUCGGAAUAGCAUUUGAAACUGGCAGACUAGAGUACUGUAGAGGGGGUAGAAUUUCAGGUGUAGCGGUGAAAUGCGUAGAGAUCUGAAGGAAUACCGGUGGCGAA